AACGAACGCUGGCGGCAGGCUUAACACAUGCAAGUCGAACGCCCCGCAAGGGGAGUGGCAGACGGGUGAGUAACGCGUGGGAACAUACCCUUUUCUACGGAAUAGCUCUGGGAAACUGGAUUUAAUACCGUAUACGCCCUACGGGGGAAAGAUUUAUCGGGGAAGGAUUGGCCCGCGUUGGAUUAGCUAGUUGGUGGGGUAAAGGCCUACCAAGGCGACGAUCCAUAGCUGGUCUGAGAGGAUGAUCAGCCACAUUGGGACUGAGACACGGCCCAAACUCCUACGGGAGGCAGCAGUGGGGAAUAUUGGACAAUGGGCGCAAGCCUGAUCCAGCCAUGCCGCGUGAGUGAUGAAGGCCUUAGGGUUGUAAAGCUCUUUCACCGAUGAAGAUAAUGACGGUAGUCGGAGAAGAAGCCCCGGCUAACUUCGUG
rnacentral:rRNA from 1 species